AAAAGGAUAAAAAUACUUAUUUCAAAGCCAAGAAAAUAAUGGCAGCAGAGCACGGUAAGCAGUGCAAAACAUGCCUGAGAAAGUUAUGGGAUUCCAAGACGUGGCUUCCACCCAAGAAUCCUACAAACAUGGCACAAGAAAACCCAGAUAAAGACAUUUUAAAACAGCCCCUCUAAACAAAAAUUAACAGAAGGAGCUGAACUAGAAAAUGUUCACAUGUAAUUCCAGAGCAGAUGGACUGUAAGUCUCUGAAACAGAAGGUCUCACCCACAGAAGCUUCUCCCCUUCCUUGGAGUACGAGCGACAACAAAAGCAGGUUUGUGGGUCUGGAUGUGCUCGUGCUCUCUUGCCUCUGUGAGCCCCAGACACCAGUGGAGGUUUAACUGUGUUCUCUGUGGCACAGAGUGUCCCUUCAGCCUGCCUGGGGGUCAGCUCCAGGUGCUCUGUAGGACCAGUGCCCACGGGGGGACCCUGCCCUGCCCGGGAUAGGGGACACAGGGACUCUGCCAACUCUGCUUAAAUCAUCCUGGCACAUAAAGCUGCAAAGCAGGAGUUUAGAUCCAAUAUUCCUUGGUAUCUGGAGCUGAAAUCACACUUUAACCAGCUCUUCAUUCAGAGAGAGCUGGACCAUUGCUGUGCAGCCCAGUUUGGGGAGGCAGGGGCUGGGAGGGAGGCACAGCCACGCUCUGAACUCUGUUGCACAAUAAUGGUGCUCUGGGGCUCUUGUGCAAAGCAGAAAGAAAACAUGUUUUUCAUUCUAAAAGGCUCUCCACAAACAGGACUCUGUUGACCUGAAGAGCAACUUUGUGAAGUGAAAGCUUCCAGGUGAUGUAAGCUGGUGCUAUGGAUCUUACUGGGAGGACAGAGGGGAUGUGAAACAUCCAAACUUCUCUGGGAAGCUGCCUGGAUUUUUAUCUUUCCAUAUAAUUUAAUUGCAGGAGGUUAGGUAACAUGCAGCCCUGUGGUUUGGAAACCCCAAAAAUCCUGCAUGAAUUCAGCCAGCUCUGGGCACCUCAACCUUGUAACCAACCAAGUUCUGAACAGACCAAAACCAACUGCAGGGGAUUUAUGCUUAGGCCACAAUUUGCUGGAGGCACAAAGAAGACACCAAGGAGGUCUCACUGCCUGUUCAGCCUACUCAGGUGCUUUUCUCUGCAUGUUACACCCACUUUUGGAGCAUGCUGAGGAGAGGAAACUGGGCUGGAUGAACACCUGGCCUGAUCCAAACUGCACUCUGUUCUCAGGAUUUUGCUCUCGGGUGUAG
rnacentral:lncRNA from 1 species